UGAUUAUAAAUUUAGGUUUAUUUUUUAUUUUAAGUUUUUUUAUAAAUAUGAAUUUUUUUGAAAAAGUUUUUUUCUGGGAUAGUAUUGUAAUCCGGCUUAUUUAAUAUUUAUAUUUACCACACAAUUGAUAGAUUUGUGUAGAAUUUUUUUUAUUGGUAAUUAAUAGCGUGCCAGCAAUUGCGGUUAAACGGGUACCAAAAUAAAAAUAGGUUUUGGCUAAGGUCUAAGGUUUAAAAUUUUUUAGUAAAAUAAGUAUAUUUUUAUUUUUAGGCUUGUGGUAAAUUUAUAGAAGAAUAGGAUUAGAGACCCUAGUAUUGUAAUAUAAAUUUUUAGAUUAGUAUGUUUUGAAAAUUAAUAAUUUUGGCGGUUUCUUAUUUUCAGAGGAUUCUGUUGUUUAGGAGAUGAUGCGCUGUUUUUUGUAAAUUAUUUUUAGUUUAUGUAUAUUCGUGGUAAAAUUGUGCUUAGAGGUCAUUAUUGGAAAAUAGUUUUUAUUUCAGAUCAAUAUGUAGCUUAUAUAAUUUAUACGUAUGGAAUACAUUUAGUAGUCUUUUUUCUUGGCUUAUUAGUGAGUCAAGUAGAUUGGAUUUGAUAGUAAAUUAGUUAUAUUAUAAAUUUUUGAAAUUUAAAUUAAGAUGUACACAUAUCGCCCGUCGUUCUCGGUGAAAACUGAGGUAAGUCGUAACAUAGUAAGUCUACUAGAAAGUGGACUUGAAAU
rnacentral:rRNA from 1 species